rnacentral:rRNA from 1 species
UUAAAUUGAAGAGUUUGAUCAUGGCUCAGAUUGAACGCUGGCGGCAGGCCUAACACAUGCAAGUCGAACGGUAACAGGAAGCAGCUUGCUGCUUUGCUGACGAGUGGCGGACGGGUGAGUAAUGUCUGGGAAACUGCCUGAUGGAGGGGGAUAACUACUGGAAACGGUGGCUAAUACCGCAUAAUGUCGCAAGACCAAAGAGGGGGACCUUCGGGCCUCUUGCCAUCAGAUGUGCCCAGAUGGGAUUAGCUUGUUGGUGAGGUAACGGCUCACCAAGGCGACGAUCCCUAGCUGGUCUGAGAGGAUGACCAGCCACACUGGAACUGAGACACGGUCCAGACUCCUACGGGAGGCAGCAGUGGGGAAUAUUGCACAAUGGGCGCAAGCCUGAUGCAGCCAUGCCG